rnacentral:rRNA from 1 species
GCAUUAUACCGUGAAACUGCGAAUGGCUCAUUAAAUCAGUUAUCGUUUAUUUGAUAGUACCUUACUACUUGGAUACCCGUGGUAAUUCUAGAGCUAAUACAUGCUAAAAACCCCGACUUCGGGAGGGGUGUGUUUAUUAGAUAAAAAACCAACGCCCUUCGGGGCUCCUUGGUGAUUCAUGAUAACCUCUCAGAUCGCACGGCCUUGCGCCGGCGACGGUUCAUUCAAAUUUCUGCCCUAUCAACUUUCGAUGGUAAGGUAUUGGCUUACCAUGGUUUCAACGGGUAACGGGGAAUUAGGGUUCGAUUCCGGAGAGUGAGCCUGAGAAACGGCUCACACAUCCAAGGAAGGCAGCAGGCGCGCAAAUUACCCAAUCCCGACACGGGGAGGUAGUGACAAUAAAUACUGAUACAGGGCUCUUUUGGGUCUUGUAAUUGGAAUGAGUACAAUUUAAACCUCUUAACGAGGAACAAUUGGAGGGCAAGUCUGGUGGACAUUCAGCUCCCAUUCUGCUGACGCCAGAGAUAGUCGGGCAGUUUCGCCAGAAGCUGUUACGCCGGCUAGUCGAGUACCCACUAAUUGAUGGGGGGGUACCGGCAAGACAACCUGGAUCGGGGAAGGCUAAGGCAUCCAGUGCUAUGCUAAUCCCGAGCAGAGCUACCACGGAGCGAUUCGUGGACAGCCUGUGUAGAGCGCGGUAAGGUGUCGGCCAACUCACGUAGUUGGCUUAAGGGACGUGCCAUUCCCACUCGAAAGAGUGGCUGCCAGCAGAAGCGCCCAUCACGCGAGCGCUGGCAGGUUCAAACAUGCUUGCAGAGCAAGCCGUUGAAAGUUAUACUAAAAGGCCAGCAGCCGCGGUAAUUCCAGCUCCAAUAGCGUAUAUUAAAGUUGUUGCAGUUAAAAAGCUCGUAGUUGAAUCUUUGGCCUGGCUGGCGGGUCCGCCUCACCGCGUGCACUUGUCCGGCCGGGCCUUCUCUUCUGGAGAACCGCAUGCCCUUCACUGGGCGUGUUGGGGACCAGGACUUUUACUUUGAAAAAAUUAGAGUGUUCAAAGCAGGCCUUUGCUCGAAUACGUUAGCAUGGAAUAAUAGAAUAGGACGUGCGGUCCUAUUUUGUUGGUUUCUAGGACCGCCGUAAUGAUUAAUAGGGACAGUCGGGGGCAUCAGUAUUCAAUUGUCAGAGGUGAAAUUCUUGGAUUUAUUGAAGACUAACUACUGCGAAAGCAUUUGCCAAGGAUGUUUUCAUUAAUCAGUGAACGAAAGUUAGGGGAUCGAAGACGAUCAGAUACCGUCGUAGUCUUAACCAUAAACUAUGCCGACUAGGGAUCGGGCGGUGUUAUCGAUUUGACCCGCUCGGCACCUUGCGAGAAAUCAAAG